UAUAUUAUAAUUUUUUAAAAUUUGAAAACUUGAUUUUUACUAACUGUGAAAUUUUAUGUAGCUGAUGAGGAUGAUUACGAUGAUUUCGAAAGUGAAGAUGAAACAAUCAAUGAAAUUGUGGCGAUUGAUUGUGAAGGUUCUGAGGAACCAAGAAUUGUUGAAAACAUAUCGGCCCAAACUUUAGGUGAUGAGGUUCUUGAAAACAUCAGUGUUGAACUUGAUGUGAAAUGUGAUGAAUAUGGAUAUUAUUUUGAGGCCGAUUGUAAGGAUGGUUUUAUUACUCAGGCUCAAACGAGUGAGAAUGAGGAAAAUAGAAGGCAUCUUUAAUUGUAUUAAAGUUUGGUUUCAUUAGCAUUUCAUUAAUUUUUUUCUGAAUAUUAUUUGUCAAUGUAACAUUACAUAUUAUGUUACAUACACAAUACAUGAAGAUCUUUUCAAGUUUUCCCUUUCUUAUUUUAACUAGUUGAUUUCGGCAAAUGUAACUAAAAUAUAUGAAGAUUGUUCUGGGCAAAAUAUCUCAUUUUUAAUAGGCUACAAGAUUUUAUUCUUGAAAGAUAGCUCUUUAUUUUAAGCA